UCGGUUUCAAUCUAGUUGUAAAGAAGGAAGAUAUGACCGUAUCUGCAUGCUACUUUGUCCCACAUCGUCUCAAAAGCAAGAAUUAAUUCCUUCGUUAUACCUAUUUAGCGGUCUCUAAUUAUGAACUUCUACACAUAGCUAUUGGGCCCGCUUAAGUGCGGGCCCUUGAUGGCUCACAUCACCUUGUAGUAAGGUCCCUUCCAAGAGUUGCAGUAUGCUGGAAAUCUUGUCUGUGAGUUUGCUGGCACCUAUGGAUUCAGGAGGUAGCCCACAUUCACAACUGAGCAUUUGCACAUGAAGCACCAGCUGACAGCUAACAUAUGUAAUUCUGCGCUUUCUCAUUUUCUCGGCUGUCAGCACUGCAUCCGAGUUUCAAGCACCAAUCUGAUAAACACACCUUUCUUGGAGAUUGAAACAAGACAAAAGUUGGCUACUGGCGCAGAAUGAAGCAAACACCAAGCUGAUAAACACACCUUUCUAAAUGUAGAAUGCUGCAUUAGAUUGUUAAGGUGUACGUUAAAAAAUUGUUUGGGUCAUUUUUUUUUUUUGGUAACUCAUUUUCUUUUCUUGUUUGGAGAUUGAAGCAAAGACAAAAAUUGGCUAAUGGCGCAGUAUGCCUGCAUGUUGUAUACUUCUUUUGCUGAUUUGGCAUAUCUGUUGAAGUUUUUCUUUUUGGUAAA